rnacentral:rRNA from 1 species
AGUGAACGCUGGCGGUAGGCCUAACACAUGCAAGUCGAACGGCAGCACAGUAAGAGCUUGCUCUUACGGGUGGCGAGUGGCGGACGGGUGAGGAAUACAUCGGAAUCUACUUUUUCGUGGGGGAUAACGUAGGGAAACUUACGCUAAUACAGCAUACGACCUACGGGUGAAAGCAGGGGAUCUUCGGACCUUGCGCGAUUGAAUGAGCCGAUGUCGGAUUAGCUAGUUGGCGGGGUAAAGGCCCACCAAGGCGACGAUCCGUAGCUGGUCUGAGAGGAUGAUCAGCCACACUGGAACUGAGACACGGUCCAGACUCCUACGGGAGGCAGCAGUGGGGAAUAUUGGACAAUGGGCGCAAGCCUGAUCCAGCCAUACCGCGUGGGUGAAGAAGGCUUUCGGGUUGUAAAGCCCUUUUGUUGGGAAAGAAAAGCAGCAGGUUAAUACCCCGCUGUUCUGACGGUACCCAAAGAAUAAGCACCGGCUAACUUCGUG